GGCCAUGUAGUGAAACUGGAUAUAACGGAAGGCUUCUAUCCUUCAGUUCGGGGUUCGAGUCCUCGCAUGGCCUCCA
rnacentral:tRNA from 1 species